UACAGCCAACAAAUUAUUUAUUAAAUUAUUAAUACAUAUGAUCAUAAUUUCCAAGAAAAGAAAGCAUAUUAAGAAAAUGUUUAUCACAUGACACAUAUAUUCGAGCAUUCUCAAUUUUUCUAAUUGAACAAAAACAUAGAAAUUACUUGCAAAGGAAUCCUCCAACUCAACUGAUUCAUCCUCUGAUUAACAUCUUUCAACCUCAAUGGUUGCGUCUCGCUAACCUUCUGCGGUAACCAAGACCUCACCAUAUUUUCUGUAACCUCAGUACCACUAACUUUACUGUGGCGGGAUCCGCGGAGCCUCCAGCCAAGAAACGAAGGGCGGUGGAGUGGAAUUGGCGGGAACGGAAAUGAAAGGAGCAAUGGUGGUUAGGGUUUUUUAUUGGGUAUGAAAAGAAGAGGGUAAAACUUUAUGAAUUGCAUUAGAAUGAGCCAGUUUGAGUGUGACUGUCUCUGUGUAAAACUCUAAUCUGAAAAAUGGGAAAUUGUCGGGUUUUGAGCGUCCAAUUAUUGAAAACCCCCGCCAAGGUUGAAAAACAGAAAGUGAUUCUUGUAUACAGCUCAAAUUAACGCUUUGUUUAGUGCACUAAAUGUGAAGGGAAAAAGAAGGAAAUCAAAACAGGGUAAUGAAACCCUUUAAUUGAUUGAAAAUUCUAUUAUUGUUAUUAUUAUAUUUUUGAUAAAAAUUCG
rnacentral:lncRNA from 1 species